GUGCUCGCUUUGGCAGCACAUAUACUAAAAUUGGAACGAUACAGAGAAGAUUAGCAUGGCCCCUGCGCAAGGAGGAAGACUCUUGGACCAGCUAUACAACCCAGUGAG